rnacentral:rRNA from 1 species
AAGAGACAGCAGCAGCCGCGGGAAUACGAAGGGGGCUAGCGUUGUUCGGAAUUACUGGGCGUAAAGCGCACGUAGGCGGACUUUUAAGUCAGGGGUGAAAUCCCGGGGCUCAACCUCGGAACUGCCUUUGAUACUGGAAGUCUUGAGUGUGGAAGAGGUAAGUGGAAUUGCGAGUGUAGAGGUGAAAUUCGUAGAUAUUCGCAAGAACACCAGUGGCGAAGGCGGCUCACUGGUCCGGAACUGACGCUGAGGCACGACAGCGUGGGGAGCAAACAGGAUUAGAUACCCCCGUAGUCCCUGUCUCUUAUAC